AAGAUCCCAAAGUUCGAGAUCCAGGACCACAGACUCAGUUCAUCUUUGGGUGAGGGGGUGUUGAGCUGGGUCCGGGUGAGGCUGGGCUUAGCAUGGGGCUGGGUUCAGGGGCUGCCAUUAGACCAGGAUCACAGGGUUCCUGUGUGUGUCAGGAUCCAGAGGCUGGUGUAUGACCGGGAUCUCUGGCCAGGUCAGGGGUCAGGCCCUGUCUGUGUCCCUGAGCACAGCCUUCGAGCUUACACCAGAGCGAGGCCCAGGCCAACCCCUCAUCGCAGAGAGGCUGAGCCGCGGCCAAGGCCAGGGGAGGGGGCGCGGGGGUGGCGGGAGGCCCAGCCCAGGCCUGCAGCGCCUCAUACCACCUUCCUUCUAGGGAGCCGGGAGACCACCAAGGUCAUCCAGACAGCCUGCCAGCGAGCCAGCUACCGAUGUCAAGGGCGCGAGGCCGUGGCAAUCCUCGGCCAAGUCAAUUAUGAUGGGCACAACCUGAUAGCCCUGCACGAGCGCGUCUCAAGCUGCAUUAAACAUCGGGUGAAAGAGAAGAAGGAAGAAAGCCAUUUGGAGAUCUGGAACUCCCCGCCCCGCCCUCCCCGAGUCUCUUCCCUCCCUCCCAUCAGGCCUUGGGUUCCAGGGAACCUCCACGAGGCUGCGCCGCAGGAAGAAACUACUCAGGACUACUCAGUUUUGUCGUCUGUGCAGUGGGAACAGCGCUAGGCUCCUGAGAGAAGCCCAGGACGAGAGGAGAAGCUGGUUUGUAGCAGGAAGCCCUGGGCUGCCCCGAUACCGCCGUCCAUAGGGGCCAACGCUCACGGGAUGUGGAUUAACUGUGGGAUCCUCGCAAUAGCCCAGCGAGGAGGGUUCUGCUAACACCCCAUUUUAUGAAUGAAGAAACUGAAAUUUAAGGAGAUGAGGGGCCCCCUGGCUGGGAGGCGGAGGGGUGGAAUUUGAGCCCAGCCAUGCCAAGGUUCCCAAGGCCCUGUUCCUGCUCCACUCUGUCUUCUCCUGUAAGGGGCCGCGUGCUUGGCCGGCAGAGGCAGGUGGCCGGGCUGCGGGCUGUGCUGGCUCUUUGGACCCUGGCACACGGCACGUACACAGUGAACGGUGAACAGCAAUAAAGAAGAGAAACCCCAGGGCGGCUAGACCCUC
rnacentral:lncRNA from 1 species